AGAUUGAACGCUGGCGGCAGGCCUAACACAUGCAAGUCGAGCGGCAGCACGGGUACUUGUACCUGGUGGCGAGCGGCGGACGGGUGAGUAAUGCCUAGGAAUCUGCCUGGUAGUGGGGGAUAACGCUCGGAAACUUACGCUAAUACCGCAUACGCCCUUUCGGGGGAAAGCCGGGGACCAGCAAUGGCCUGGUGCUGAUAGAUGAGCCGAUGUCGGAUUAGCUAGUUGGUGAGGUAUGGCUCACCGAAGGCGACGAUCCGUAGCUGGUCUGAGAGGAUGAUCAGCCACACUGGAACUGGAGACACGGUCCAGACUCCGUAGGGAGCAGCAGGUGGGAAUAGUGGACAGUGGGCG
rnacentral:rRNA from 1 species